UACGUAGGGGUCUAGCGUUGUCCGGAAUUAUUGGGCGUAAAGAGCUCGUAGGUGGUUCGGCAAGUCAGUUGUGAAAUCUCCGCGCUCAACGCGGAGGGGUCAGCUGAAACUGCUGUGACUUGAGUCUGGUAGGGGAGUGUGGAAUUCCCGGUGUAGCGGUGAAAUGCGCAGAUAUCGGGAGGAACACCAGUGGCGGAAGGCGGCAUCCUGGACCGGUAUUGACGCGUGAGGCGCGAAAGCCAGGGGAGCCAAAGCGGG
rnacentral:rRNA from 1 species